rnacentral:sRNA from 3 species
GCUGUCGCAAAAUCGGCAGCCGGGCGUGGAAACCCGAGCAAUCUAACGGCGACAUAUGACGCGCCAUGCGUCUUUUUU